rnacentral:rRNA from 1 species
GAAGCGAACCGUGCGAACGUUGUUCGGAAUCACUGGGCUUAAAGGGGCGCGUAGGCGGGCCGCCAAGGUCAGGGGUGAAAUCCUCCAGCUCAACUGGAGAACUGCUUUUGAUACUGGCGGUCUAGAGUGGGGUAGGGGCAUGCGGAACAAUGGGUGGAGCGGUGAAAUGCGUUGAUAUCCAUUGGAAACUCCGGUGGCGAAAG